rnacentral:rRNA from 1 species
CUUGCCCUACGGGACGCAGCAGUAAGGGAUAUUGGUCAAUGGGGGAAACCCUGAACCAGCAACGCCGCGUGAGGGAAGACGGUUUUCGGAUUGUAAACCUCUGUCCUCUGUGAAGAUGAUGACGGUAGCAGAGGAGGAAGCUCCGGCUAACUACGUGCCAGCAGCCGCGGUAAUACGUAGGGAGCGAGCGUUGUCCGGAUUUACUGGGUGUAAAGGGUGCGUAGGCGGCUUGGCAAGUCAGUAGUGAAAUCCAUGGGCUUAACCAAUGAACUGCUAUUGAACCUGUCGGGCUUGAGUGAAGUAGG